rnacentral:rRNA from 1 species
GACGAACGCUGGCGGCGUGCUUAACACAUGCAAGUCGAACGGAAAGGCCCUGCUUGCAGGGUACUCGAGUGGCGAACGGGUGAGUAACACGUGGGUGAUCUGCCCUGCACUUCGGGAUAAGCCUGGGAAACUGGGUCUAAUACCGGAUAGGAGCCAUUUUGAGUGUGAUGGUUGGAAAGUUUUUUCGGUGUAGGAUGAGCUCGCGGCCUAUCAGCUUGUUGGUGGGGUAAUGGCCUACCAAGGCGGCGACGGGUAGCCGGCCUGAGAGGGUGGACGGCCACAUUGGGACUGAGAUACGGCCCAGACUCCUACGGGAGGCAGCAGGGGGGAAUAUUGCACAAUGGGCGCGAGCCUGAUGCAGCGACGCCGCGGGGGGGAGGACGGCCUUCGGGUUGGAAACUCCUUUCGCUAGGGACGAAGCUUUUUGUGACGGUACCUAGAUAAGAAGCACCGGCUAACUACGUG